ACGCUCGACACCUACGGGAGACAGCAGUGGGGAAUAUUGCACAAUGGGGGAAACCCUGAUGCAGCGACGCCGCGUGAGCGAAGAAGUAUUUCGGUAUGUAAAGCUCUAUCAGCAGGGANAAAGUGACGGUACCUGACUAAGAAGCACCGGCUAAAUACGUGCCAACAGCCGCGGUAAUCUGAGCGGGCUGGCAAGGC
rnacentral:rRNA from 1 species